rnacentral:rRNA from 1 species
GACGAACGCUGGCGGCGUGCUUAACACAUGCAAGUCGAACGGAAAGGCCCUGCUUGCAGGGUACUCGAGUGGCGAACGGGUGAGUAACACGUGGGUGAUCUGCCCUGCACUUCGGGAUAAGCCCGGGAAACUGGGUCUAAUACCGGAUAGGAGCCAUUUUUAGUGUGAUGGUUGGAAAGUUUUUUCGGUGUAGGGUGAGCUCGCGGCCUAUCAGCUUGUUGGUGGGGUAAUGGCCUACCAAGGCGGCGACGGGUAGCCGGCCUGAGAGGGUGGACGGCCACAUUGGGACUGAGAUACGGCCCAGACUCCUACGGGAGGCAGCAGUGGGGAAUAUUGCACAAUGGGCGCAAGCCUGAUGCAGCGACGCCGCGUGGGGGAUGACGGCCUUCGGGUUGUAAACUCCUUUCGCUAGGGACGAAGCUUUUUGUGACGGUACCUAGAUAAGAAGCACCGGCUAACUACGUG